CCUCUUUUCUGUUCCUCUCUCAAUCUCACGCAAAAAAAGAACAAACAGUAACGACAAAUCCUCCCUUUCUCUCUCGAUUUUGUUUCGGAACAGCAACAAUAAGAUCCUUCUUCUCUUAGUCUCACGAUGAUGAACAAUGGAAGAACACAACAUUCCUCCUCUCGACAACUCUCCUGGUUCUCCAUCGUUCAUGGCAACAACAACAAGAACUUCUCUUUCGAUUUCUCUCCCUACGAAACAACAACAACGGCGACAAAGCUCUCUCUCUGGUUUCUCUCUCGAACUCGCCGCUCACGGUCUCUCUCUUGCUGGGACGAAAACAAGAACAACAACGCCCUCUCUCUCAAAUUCUCACGGUGGCCAUGGGGAAGAGCUUUAGAGAUGGUAUACAAGAACUAACAACAACAGCAAGCAGUAUUUUUAAGAGUGAAGGUGGAAUCGGAUUACCUACGGCGAGGAGAUGUUCGCCGGAUUUUGCGUUUGAGCACUACUAACAGCCUUCAAAUUAUUCAAGUAGCCAUGGGAGCUCACAUCGACGAGAAUAACUUAUCGUAUAACCCGAUUUUUUCCAAGAACAGAGG